UCUCUCCCUUUUUCUCUUCUACUUCCCUCGUUGCUGUUCCACGGGUUAAUUCUUGACGCGCACGCUUUCGAUAACAAGGUUGUUUCAAGUGGCACUCCCGAGCUUGCUCUGGGGUUUGCCUGCCCCGAGCAACUAUAUCGAGUGUUCCGCUGUUUAACUUAAUUGCCGCUAGCUGCUACUUCGCGAUUGCUCUCUUUUCAUACAGAGAGCAGAUUCGUCGCUUAGUUAGUUAAUGUGCAAAGUGGAAUUUGAUUGCGUGUAUUUUUCAGUGCCUUUGAAUGCCUAGAGACUGUGAUUGGAUCAUGUUAGAGAUUCUGAUUUGAAUUGUACGAGAUUCCCUUUUGGUUAUGUAAGAGAAUUAAGUAACAGUUUGGCAAUUGCAAUCUCCUCCAAUGGAGAAAAAGGAGAAAAAGUGAGAUCACAGGGCGUCUAUUCCGGGAAUCACUCUCGACGGAAGUUACUGUGGAAUCCGUCGGUGGUAAUUCGAGGUGAACGAAACUGAAGUGGGCUCGAAUUACUAGGGAACUAUUAAUGAAACAGGGAUUAAAAGAAAGAAGCUGGCCAACGCAAUGGGGGGAACAGAUGGGUUCGUCGAGCGUUCGUGAAUGGAAAGAAUCGCUGCUUUUUCGCUAUUCACGCGGUAUAGUUGUCUGUGACGAUGGUUUUGAAGGUUCCUGAUCGCGGUAGCUGCCUUUCAUUCGGAUAUUUGAGAUGAUACUUAUUCAAAAUGGACAUAAUACUGAUAUCAAAAAGAAUAUCAAAGGAACGUUUAACAAAAUAUUAAAGAAGAACUUAUUCAAUAUUUGUGUAAUAUUGAUAGAUAUUUUUUCAAUAUUACAGAAACUAUACGUAUAAAAAGGAACUCAAAGAGGAAGGGAGGAGAAUGUUGGGAAAGUCUGUCGAAGGUCGUCGAUAAUAGUUUCCAAUACUUGCCCAGUAUUUUGCGGUAACGAGACCCGUAACGACCGUCGUGCAAGAAAUAAACGAGUCGGAUUAUAGUUUUCCGUUUCGCUUAAACUCAAUCACUCCUGCAGAAAUACAAGUUUCGAGCGGUUCGGUAACGACGGAUCGAAGAAAUUUUUAAAGAGCCAAGAUUGACCGCGUUGAAGUCACCGCGAGUCUCUCCAAUCCUCUUCAACUAGACGUCUGUACACUGUACUGUACACGUGUACAAGCAAAUUGAAGUACGGUAGAACGUUCGACGAUAAUUUGCUCCAAUAAGUUUGAAAUAACGGGUCUGUUAUGUUAUAUAUUUGAAAUGAACAUAAGAGUAUCUGAAUUUGCUAUUGAUUUGGUAUUGCUAUUUUAUUAUAUUGGCAAAUUUUACAUAUAGUAUAUUAUAUUAUAGUAUGCAAAAGUUUUAGUCUUUUCUUCAAGCAUUCACGUGCAAUUACAUACUUUUAAUGGAUAUAAUUUACCGCCUUUUUGUGCAAUUGUUUUCUUGGUAUCAAUCUAUCUGAAACACCAGCUUCACGAUGGAUUGGUAACGAUGAAUGAAUUUACGUAUAAAUAAAAGAAAAUUGAAAAGAGGACUAAAACUUUUACAUACGUUUAAUAAUAAAAA
rnacentral:lncRNA from 1 species